AAAGGGAGACCUAAUUCAGGUAGGAGACGAAAAAAAAGUAGUCGCUACCAAGAAUCAAUCCCAAAAGGUCGGAGCGAGGCGAAAUUGGCUUUCAAACUAGGUUCUGGGUUCACACAAGACCUGAAUCAGGAACAAGGGCUAUUAGCUCAGGUGGUUAGAGCGCACCCCUGAUAAGGGUGAGGUCCCUGGUUCGAGUCCAGGAUGGCCCACCUGCACAGGUGGCAAAAACAAGAGAAGCUCCGAAUCAGCACCUUAUCUUACUUAUAUAGUAAGAGAGAAUGCUGGCUCUGAGUUCAGAGUCCAGAGGAACCUUGAAAACUGCAUAGAGCUAGGUGAAAAAGCCAAAAAAGAAGACCGCAAG
rnacentral:tRNA from 1 species